rnacentral:rRNA from 1 species
GAUGAACGCUGGCGGCGUGCCUAAUACAUGCAAGUCGAGCGAACAGACGAGGAGCUUGCUCCUCUGACGUUAGCGGCGGACGGGUGAGUAACACGUGGAUAACCUACCUAUAAGACUGGGAUAACUUCGGGAAACCGGAGCUAAUACCGGAUAAUAUAUUGAACCGCAUGGGUCAAUAGUAAAAGACGGUUUUGCUGUCACUUAUAGAUGGAUCCCGGCCGCAUUAGAUAGUUGGUAAGGUAACGGCUUACCAAGGCGAGGAGGCGUAUCCGACCUGACAGGGUGGUCGGCCGCACUGGAACUGAGACGGGGUCCAGACUACUACGGGAGGCAGCAGUAGGGAAUCGGCCGCAAUGGGCGAAAGCCUUACGGAGCAACGCCGCGUGAGUGAUGAAGGUCUUCGGAUCGUAAAACUCUGUUAUUAGGGAAGAACAAAUGUGUAAUUAACUAUGCACGUAUUGACGGUACUUGGUCAGAAAGCCACGGCUAACUACGUG